rnacentral:rRNA from 1 species
AUUGAACGCUGGCGGCAGGCUUAACACAUGCAAGUCGAGCGAGCGGCGGACGGGUGAGUAAUGUCUGGGAAACUGCCUGAUGGAGGGGGAUAACUACUGGAAACGGUAGCUAAUACCGCAUACCAUCAGAUGGGCCCAGGUGGGAUUAGCUAGUAGGUGGGGUAAUGGCUCACCUAGGAGACGAGCCUUAGCUGGUCUGAGAGGAUGACCAGCCACACUGGAACUGAGACACGGUCCAGACUCCUACGGGAGGCAGCAGUGGGGAAUAUUGGACAAUGGGCGAAAGCCGGAUGCAGCCAUGCCGCGUGUGUGAAGAAGGCCUUCGGGUUGUAAAGCACUUUCAGCGAGGAGGCGUUACUAACAGAAUAAGCACCGGCUAACUCCGUGCCAGCAGCCGCGGUAAUAC